UCUGUCUCCUUUUCCAACUUUUCAGGACCAUUGGGCAUGUGCAGAUAAUCCAGUGUGAUACCCCUGUCUCAAGUUCCUUAAAUUCAAAGUCCCUGUCUCAGGGAUAAAUAUAGAUGGAAUCAGCAGAGGGGAUGCAAGACACAUGGCAGACUACCUCCACCAAGAGACACACCAAAUAAACUUCUCAUCAUAGACCAGGUCACACAGAGAUUGUCAGAGACCAGCUGAGAGACUCUGAACCACCAAUCAACUAAGAAAACAUCUAUGUCAAGUAAAUAAUAAAAGCUAAGGCGUC